AAGAAGAAGAAGAAGAAGAAAAUAAAAAAGAGAACAUAGGAGAGAACAAGAUGGCAGAGAGGGGAACGGAGAGGAGAAGAGAAAUUAGAGAAAGAAUAUAUGGAAGAAAUAGUGUGUCAUUUAAAGUGUUGACAGUUUGUUUGUGUACUUGUUUUUAUAUUUCAAUACACUACGUGGUAUGCAAAUUUUAAGAAUAUGGAAGGGAAGACAUAUUAGUGAAGAGAAGGAAGACAGAAGAUAGAAGAGGAGAGAGGACAAGGAAAAAGUGAAAGAUGACAAGUGGCAACGGGAGAAGAACCAAGUGAAGAUCAUAGUAUUCUUGAGAAGAUGAAAGGAGAGCCAAAAAUAAGAGAAGGAAGAGCAAAGAGCAGCUUAAGGAACAGUGCAGUGAAUGGACGGGAAGGGAAAAGAGAAGAGGAGAGAACAUAAAUGAAGUCGUCUCACUAUACGCCAUGCAGGUGCUUGUGGGGACGGGUGGGGCCCAGAGCCAGUCUGGACGCAGAGGCUAGAGGAGGAAUCCUCUGCCCCUGUCUGGGAUAGAACCCCCUGGUCGUCCAGUCCGUAACAAAGUCACAAAAGUGACUGAGUUACCCCCUGGGUCAUGAGGAAAGACCAUAGGAGUGCGAAAUAGAAGGAGACAACGGACAACACAUGAAGAAAGCAAUGAAGUCUUAAUAAGAGAGAAGUGAAGAAAUGAGAAGAGAAGAUGCAGGUGGACUCAAGGCAGAACAAGGGAACAGGGAUGAGAAAGGAGGAGGAAAGGAGAGGAAUGGUGAGACAAAAGAGGAGGGAGAAGAAAGAAGAGGGCAGGGAUAGGAUAGGAUAGGAUUGGAUAGGAUACGGCAGCAAAAGAGGUAGCAGAGGUGUGAACAUAAGGCAAGGGAUCUCAUAGAAGAGAAGAGAAGAGAAGAGAAGAGAAGAGAAGAGAAGAGAAUACAGGACGCAUAACAGAGGUGACUGCAGAGAAGGCAGAAGACAGAGAAGGACACGAGAGGAGACGUGAAAAGACAGAAUAUUACAUAGAUGCUGCAGAGAGGAUGUGAUAGAAGCAGAGAGACAAGUGGAGAGAUGACAGAAUAGGAGAGAACACAAGAAAUUUGUCGACAAUACUGAAGACAGAACGUGUUAGCAGACUGUGUUAUGUGUGUCAGGCGUGGUGUGUGUUUGUGUUCAUGUCUCAUGCUUCAACACUCCCAUAACUUAAUCAUGCAACAGAAUAUUUGCUGAGUGGCAAUGUUCAAAAUUUCCCUGUCAUGUUAAUUUUGCCCAUGCCCUCCUCCUAAGUCAAGUCAUGGCAUUCAGCUCACAAUGUUCUCUUGAGUACCUUGUUAGGAGACACUGCACGCGGGCAUUGUUUAUUGGCCGCUUCAGGGAAAGGGUUCAUCGGGUAUAUCUCCCACUUGGCUGACCCUCAAGAACAACUCGUUGCUUCGGUAGGACCACUUAGAACUUUGAGAAUGUUCUCAAUCUCAUUUCCGAGAUGUCGCGUGGCAUGCCGACUCAGGCAAGUUCUGUACAUUCAUUACCUUCCGUUAAAUACGAGAUAUCCGGCAAAUCGAACGCAGGUAACAAGGGCAGCUACAAAUUUAUAUUGCCCUCCACACCACAGCUGGCAUCUAAAUCUUAGCAAUUUCUCAUCCACUAUCAUAAAUGUGACCAAAAUUAGGUCCAUCAAUUGCAGAUACAAGAUAUUAGGAAUAGCCCGAACGAUUUCGCUUACCGCAGAGUGAAACCGAACAGUCAGGGACAUUAUGGGAGGCAUUACACAAUGGGAAGCACAUGCCUCCACAGACAUCGCUAGUGCCGGACUACAUUUAAUUUCACUCUUACGUGCAAAACUUCUCAAUGAGAUUUCUGGUCUGACAAGUUGUGUAUUGUAUCAAGUAUUGCGAUUUGUAGCGUUGAUGGUAGUGAUUGUGGGUGUGUAGUUAUGGUUGAGUAAUGAUGAUUAGUGCUCUUGUAGAUAUUAGAUGCUUGUUUUGUUUGUGAUGUAGACUGAUAUUAGUUGGUAGCCAGUUGCACAGUAGGUAGAUUGCGUCUGCGACCAGAAAUUUCAUUGCCAUAUUAUUUCCCGUGACAGGCAGUCUUCAAUUAACUACCGUGGGGUACAGCUUAGCUGCAUCCACAUGUUUCAUUCUAUUAUUAGAAGUUACUACUCAAACGAGUAUAUGAGUUGCUAUUCGGGCCAAUUAAAUGACCUGACACUUGUCACAUGGCUAGAGAAAACAUAUUUUAGAAGGAUGUGUAGAUGGAACCCAUCUGUAAAAAUCAUUAAUCAGUCGUAAAGAACAACUUCCUGAACCCUCAUACCUGAGACAGCAUUCUUGUGGUCCCUCAAUACGUUAGCAAGUUUGCUAUGCAGUGCCAGCUGCACAUAUUGUUCGCUCUUACCAGAGUCGUUUUGAUGAAAGUGGAAGUAAAGGAAUCUUGAUAUUCAAGCCAUGUCUUCACACUUCUUCUGCCUUUGAGAUCCCCACUAUCCGUACCAUGACUCGAGAUUUUUCCGACCACUUCACUGGGGUCUUCCCGAAUACUCUCCCAGAAAGUGGCUAGACAGGAGCGCGUCACAUUCCUGAUACAAAUCAUGAACAUCUGCGUCAAUGUGGUGAGAAUGAAAGCUUUCCUCACUGUUGCAUACCACUUAUUUGCCUUAGUAGGGUCCAAGCAUAGGCCUCACUUCUUCAAUUACUCAGUAAAACCAUAUUAGCACAAUGUGGCAUACUGUGUCAUCUACCGCUUUCACUCACGCAUCGCAAAAGAUCACAGUCCCAUUCAUCACUGUCUGUCUGGGUAUUAAGUGCCUUGGGAUCAUGUACUUAGAGUGUGAUGGAUGCCACGAACACAGCGAAACAAAUACAGGACAUAAGAAAAAAUUAA